AUUGAACGCUGGCGGCAGGCCUAACACAUGCAAGUCGAGCGGAUGAAGGGAGCUUGCUCCUGGAUUCAGCGGCGGACGGGUGAGUAAUGCCUAGGAAUCUGCCUGGUAGCGGGGGAUAACGUCCGGAAACGGGCGCUAAUACCGCAUACGUCCUGAGGGAGAAAGUGGGGGAUCUUCGGACCUCACGCUAUCAGAUGAGCCUAGGUCGGAUUAGCUAGUUGGUGGGGUAAAGGCCUACCAAGGCGACGAUCCGUAACUGGUCUGAGAGGAUGAUCAGUCACACUGGAAAUGAGACACGGUCCAGACUCCUACGGGAGGCAGCAGUGGGGAAUAUUGGACAAUGGGCGAAAGCCUGAUCCAGCCAUGCCGCGUGUGUGAAGAAGGUCUUCGGAUUGUAAAGCACUUUAAGUUGGGAGGAAGGGCAGUAAGUUAAUACCUUGCUGUUUUGACGUUACCAACAGAAUAAGCACCGGCUAACUUCGUG
rnacentral:rRNA from 1 species